UCACAGGGAGGUAGUGACAAGAAAUAACAAUACGGGGCUUAAUGUCUUGUAAUUGGAAUGAUGGGAAUUUAAACCUCUUCCAGAGUAUCAAUUGGAGGGCAAGUCUGGUGCCAGCAGCCGCGGUAAUUCCAGCUCCAAUAGCGUAUAUUAAAAUUGUUGCAGUUAAAAAGCUCGUAGUUGAAUUUCUGCUGCAUUGCUUUUGCUCCUUUACGAGUCUUUGCAUUGUGGCUUAUUUCGGACUUUGUUUUACAAUGUCCGGAUGUUUACUUUGAGAAAAUUAGAGUGCUCAAAGCAGGCUUUCGCCUUGAAUAGUUUAGCAUGGAAUAAUAAAGUAGGACUUUGGUUCUAUUUUGUUGGUUUUAGGUACCAAAGUAAUGGUUAAUAGGAACAGUUGGGGGCAUUCGUAUUUAACUGUCAGAGGUGAAAUU
rnacentral:rRNA from 1 species